ACGGAGUCAAAGGAGAUCAUUUUGGAGCUUUAAGACUUGACUGCCCCCGUGGAUUUCAGACUUGCAUGGAGCCUGUAGUCCCUUUGUUUUUGUCAAUUUAUCCUGUUUGGACUGGGAACAUUUACCCAAUGCCUGUACCUCCAUUGUAUCUAGGAGGUAACUAACUUGCUUUCUAUUUUACAGGCUCAAGCUGGAAGGGACUUGUCUUAGAUGAGAGUUUGGACUUGGACUUUUGAGUUAAUGGAGGAAUCCAGUGGGAGGGCCAAUACUGUGUUAAAAGUAGAAAUAACAGGUGAGAAUGUUGACAAAAGUAAAACCAUAACAUAGAUGCCUGGUCCUGUAGUAAUGAGGCUUGGACUGGAGAAGACAUUAAAGGUAUGUCUCAAUUCUGCAUGGGCUGGCCUCAUGAUCUUAGAAAAUUAUUCCAUUGCUUUAAGGACUUUCUGGAUAGGAGAACAGAAGAGCCUAGUUUGGCUACUAUUCAGUCUCAAAUAUGUGUAAGGCAUUGGUUGUUAACUUUGUAAAAAUAGUGAUUUCAACCUUGCACUCCUAUGUCCUCAGAAAAAAUUUUCUGAGAGCUAAAUUGCCGUGGAUUGCAGAUGAUGCCACGUAUAAGUGGUAGGUGUCUCAUGUUUGAGGAUCUCUCGGGAUAUGUUGAAGGCUAGAGUGGCAUGUUCACUCCUCCUACUCAUAUGGCCCCUCUCAGCAAAAAGCCCAUAGAGACAGCCUCUUUGGAUGAGCAUAUCUAGCAUUUUCUUUUCAUGUGUUAUAAUUAGACUGUAAUGAUGUAUCACAAACUGGAUUUUUAAAAUUAUACCCUUAGUUUUGAGUAGACAAAAAUGCUUUAAGUGUUGCAUUACUUUUAUAUCUGCUUCACGUAAGUCACCUUUCUAUAUAAAUUUCUUCUCUAAAGACAUGAUUCUUCAUUUGUUGUCUGCUCAGGAAUAUUUUGUUCUUUGCAGUUGUCUACAUUGUAUUUAGCUUUUCAUUAGUUUUUACUCUGGUCUGAGUAAAAUAGAAGUAUAUUUUGCAAUCUUUUUUUCUUCUUCUGUUUACAGGUGUUUUUAUUUUGUCAUCUUGGUAACAAUAUUUUUCAGAUCUAUUUGUAAUCUUUUAAUAUCCACAUAGUUUCUUCUACCAUUUAAAAAUGUAAAAAUUCAACUACAUGCUGAAUUUCCUGAAUUUAAUAGAUAUUCUUUAGGAAAUAAUUUCAGUAAUAAACCACUAAGCAUGCCUCCCCAAAAUGUAGGACUUUAGCUGUUUAAAUUUACUUGUUCUUGGUUCUAUGAAUAAUAUUUCAGAGUAUCCCCAAAAGCUCUCCAGCCAAGGUGCUCUGAGGUUGCAGGGGGCCUAUGUUCAUCUCAGGGCUGUUGUGAGAAUUACAUGCAGCCAUGAAGGGACAGUCUUUGUCCUCUAUCCACAUGUGAGUAAUCAUUUUUAUCCAUGCCGCUCAUACAUUUGGCAAGAUAAAUCAAACUUUCAAUUUUGGAAGACCAAAAAUGGUGGUAUCAAGGAAUACAUCACCAUGCUGUUAAACCCAGAGUGAUGUACACCCCUCUCAGAAGGCAGGUGCCAGAUUCAUAAUGUGAAUAAUCCUACUUAUUACUGCAGAAACAUCAUUUGUUUGAUUAGAAGUUGCUGCCCUAGUAUUAUGUAAUACACAAUAUAUGCAGUUCAUUGCCUUUUUAAAAUUUGAAAUUUGUAAAACUCUGAACCACACCUGGCUCCAAGAGUUUCAGGUAAGGGAUAGUGGACAUGUAGAGUAUAGUGAUUUAAAAGUUGGGCUCUGAAGCCAGACCUCCUGCCUCUUUUCUCAGCUUUACCAUCUAAUAGCUGUGUGGCCUCCGGUUAGUUACUUUACCUCUCUAAGCCUUGAUGAAAAUAGUGGAACCUAGUUCACAGGGCUAUAAAAAUUGAGUGAGGGAAUAAACAUAAAGUACUUAGAAAGCGCUUGAUGUUAAGAAUAAUGAUCUGGGGACAACUGACAUAAACCUGGACUCCCCAGGAAGCCAGGCUCCUACACCACAGGAUAUAUCAGCCAUCAUCAAAGAGGUGAGCUCUAGAGAAUCUGGCGACACUGGUUGCUGGAAGAGAGUGAAGGGAAACAUUUACUGAUAAAACUAAACCUCACUGCCAUCACUUAGGGUCGCAAUGUUUGAUACCUGACAUGUUCUUUCAAAUCUAGGCUUGACUUUGCUAUCAACUUACAUUGUGAGCUUGAGCAAGCGACUCACCCUCUCUGGACCUUUGGAUCAUGAACGAGUAAAUUAGAUGAUUUCCAAAGGCAGUCCAGCUGGAACACAUUGACUCCAAUAGGAACGUACACCAGAAGAACAACUCUGGUUGGGGAUUUGAAAACCUCUCACUUGCUAAUUCCUGGGGCCUAAGGCAACACAAUCCUUGUUUUCAUAACCCAGAGUUAUGUCCAGGGCCAGACCAGAGCAGCAGAUGGACAGACCUGACUCCUAGACGUUUGUAAUUGAUCAGGACACACUGUAAUGAAGUAAUUUUCUUGUCUUCAUUCUCCAUGUCAGCAGGGGCCUGUCUGCCAUGUAGGAAGGGUGACAGAGUAAUCUGAGCCGCCGCUGAAAACCUGCUUUUUCUCCACAGUUAUUUCGCCUGCCACGAGCUGUGGCAGGCAGUGGGAAAGAGUCCAGACAAGCAGGGGAAUUUGGAUGCUCUCAAAAUAUCAUACAGGAACUUUAAAAAUUGAACUGAUUUAUGCUUUGUAAUGCUUUCAAUAAUGUGUAAAUGAAGUUAGAACUUGAAUCUGAAUUUAAGGAAAAAUUUUAUGUUACCAGACAUGAAAGGGCCACAGAAAAAUCUCAUUGUAUGAUAACGCUCUCUCCGCUGUACCAAGAAUUGCACUUUGCAUAAAUAAUGGAUCCUGGGGUAGAAUGUGUAACAUGCAUUACUUUUCAGCAUCAAAGAAUGCUCAAAAUUACCUGGAGGUCUGAAAACUCCUCUGGGGCUUAUGAAUUCCUGGGUUCAGGCAAAGGCCUUGCCACUAUAAAUCUGGCUUACAAGCUCUCCAAGCUCAACGUGCUGCCAUGGAAACUUGACACAUGCCUCAACCUUCUCAACUGAGGUAUGGGCAUCAUAGGCUUAUAAUUUGCCCCAACCCAGACUCUGGAUUAAGAAAUAAUCCACAGUCUCAGUAGGGAUAUAUGUGGAAGAUAAUACUUCUCCACCCAGGGACCCUGUGCCAAAGGUCAAGUUGUGUGACUCAGAGUAGCUGAGGCCCUAGAAUGCCUCCCACACAUACAUUCUCUGAGCCAGUGGCCCAUAUUUUCCCCCUAAGGUUUUAUUGUCUUGCAUUUUUUUAAUCUCAGAGAAUUUUACAAUAGCUAGGUUUGGGACAAAGAACAUAAACAUGGCUCCAGCAAAACCAGUUGCAUAUGGUAUUGAAACAAAGACUCAGGGAGGAAAAAUGCAACACAGACCUGAGUGUUGUAGCCUGUUUGCUAGUGUAACCUUCUCUGCCCAUUGGGAACAGCUGGAAAAGGUCUCCUGAAACCCAGAGGCCCUGAGUUGGUCAUAAAAAUCCAGUUAAUUUGUCUUCAGUCUGAUUUGAGGUGAGUAUGACAAACAUCUCUGGGAGCAUCGUGCUUCUGCCUACCAAAAUCUUCAGCACAGCAUUUGUUGGUCUUAUGGAAACCUGCUAGUGGGGUCUGCUUAGCAUAUCAAAAGGCAAAGGGAAUUUGACACUUUCAUUACUAAAAGCUUUUUCUAGAAGUUAGCGUUAUGUAUGCCUAGUUCUGAAGACUACUAGAUAUUGUUUCACAGUUGAAAUAUCAUAAGUAAAAAUACUAGGUAGAGUAUAAAGUAUUACAUGGUAUAGAGAUGUCACAUGGAAGUUCUGAAAUUGUACAGUUUAUUCCAGUUGGGCCACAUCAUGAAACUGGAGAGGUGUGAUGGGUGCAGCAUGAACCAGGACAGAGGAAAGCAGAGAGAAGGUGCUCCACACUGAUGAAGCAGCCAGAGGAAUGGGCCUUGGCAGUGGAGGGGAACAUCUGGGCUCAGGCUCUAGACACGGUCUGCAAUUUAAAAACUGGAUUGUGAUGAGAAGCAUCUGGAGUCUGAUAAAGGCUAAUUACAGUUAAGAAAUAUGAAAAUUGAGAACUCAGGAGAAGAUCAGCUUCUACUACUGCCUGGGCAGAAUAAUCAAGAAAUUAGCACAAACUGAUGGUGACCAUAAAGAGACACUAGAGGAUAAUUGAAGUAUUAACAUUAAAGAUAUUCUGGCAAGUGGUUUGUCCCUUGAGAGUCCAGGCCGUCUUCCUUGCUACAGGACAUAAUACGACUGAAGAGCUUUUCAACAAAGCAAUGGGGGCUCUGUAGGAGGGUUGCCUCAUAAGCUUGGGCUGAGGCUGGGGCAGAGGGAUGCUGGUUAAUGAGUAGGCUUUUCUGCAUGAAGCAUGAGGACCCUGGUUGGGCCCCACACUUUCAGGGUUGCUCUAACAAAGUAAAGCAAGUACAGAGAAUGGCAAUCAGAGAGAAGGGUCUGAACUCACAGCAUGGGAAAACCUUUAGAGAUGGCCAGGCUUUUUGUUGGUUGGGAAAUGGCUCUAGAUGAAUACAGUUGGCAUUUUCAGUUAUUUUAGUGAAGACAUCAUGAGGAGAGGAGAUUGUACAUAGUCUCUAGACUACCAAAGGAAUAGCUAAAACUACAUUUAAAACAUUUUUAACCAAACAUUGUUGAGCUCCUUUCACGCGCCAUACAAGGGACCUACGGUUUCC
rnacentral:lncRNA from 10 species